GACGAACGCUGGCGGCGUGCCUAAUACAUGCAAGUAGAACGCUGAAGCUCGGUGCUUGCACCGAGCGGAUGAGUUGCGAACGGGUGAGUCACGCGUAGGUAACCUGCCUGGUAGCGGGGGAUCACUAUUGGAAACGAUAGCUAAUACCGCAUAAGAGUAGAUGUUGCAUGACAUUUGCUUAAAAGGUGCAAUUGCAUCACUACCAGAUGGACCUGCGUUGUAUUAGUUAGUUGGUGGGGUAACGGCGCACCAAGGCAACGAUACGUAGCCGACCUGAGAGGGUGAGCAGCCACACUGGGACGGUGACACGGCACAGACGCAUACGGAAGGCAGCAGUACGGAAACGGCAGCAAUAGACGGAAGUCUGACCGAGCAACGCCGAGUCAGUGAAGAGGGUUGUCGGAUGGGAGAGCACUGUUGUAGGGGAAGAACGAGUGUGAGCGUGUAAAGUAGAGACUGUGACGGUAUCUGACCAAGAAGGGACGGCUAACUACGUG
rnacentral:rRNA from 1 species